UACGAAGGGUGCAAACGUUGCUCGGAAUUAUUGGGCGUAAAGCGCACGUAGGCGGCAUCGCAAGUCCCAUGUGAAAGCCCACGGCUUAACCGUGGAAGUGCAUGGGAAACUGCAGUGCUUGAGUACUUAAGAGGAUCGCGGAAUUCCCGGUGUAGAGGUGAAAUUCGUAGAUAUCGGGAGGAACACCAGUGGCGAAGGCGGCCGACUGGGCCGACCCUGACGCUGAGGCGCGAAGGCGUGGGGAGCGAACGGG
rnacentral:rRNA from 1 species